AUUGAACGCUGGCGGCAUGCCUUACACAUGCAAGUCGAACGGCAGCGGACCUUCGGGUGCCGGCGAGUGGCGAACGGGUGAGUAAUGCAUCGGAACGUGCCAUUGAGUGGGGGAUAACGUAGCGAAAGUUGCGCUAAUACCGCAUAUUCUGUGCGCAGGAAAGCAGGGGACCGCAAGGCCUUGCGCUCUUUGAGCGGCCGAUGUCAGAUUAGCUAGUUGGUGAGGUAACGGCUUACCAAGGCGACGAUCUGUAGCGGGUCUGAGAGGAUGAUCCGCCACACUGGAACUGAGACACGGUCCAGACUCCUACGGGAGGCAGCAGUGGGGAAUUUUGGACAAUGGGGGCAACCCUGAUCCAGCCAUGCCGCGUGAGUGAAGAAGGCCUCGGUUGUAAG
rnacentral:rRNA from 1 species